AGCGUGGGGAGCGAACAGGAUUAGAUACCCUGGUAGUCCACGCCGUAAACGAUGAGUGCUAAGUGUUAGGGGGUUUCCGCCCCUUAGUGCUGCAGCUAACGCAUUAAGCACUCCGCCUGGGGAGUACGGUCGCAAGACUGAAACUCAAAGGAAUUGACGGGGGCCCGCACAAGCGGUGGAGCAUGUGGUUUAAUUCGAAGCAACGCGAAGAACCUUACCAGGUCUUGACAUCCUCUGACAACCCUAGAGAUAGGGCUUUCCCUUCGGGGACAGAGUGACAGGUGGUGCAUGGUUGUCGUCAGCUCGUGUCGUGAGAUGUUGGGUUAAGUCCCGCAACGAGCGCAACCCUUGAUCUUAGUUGCCAGCAUUCAGUUGGGCACUCUAAGGUGACUGCCGGUGACAAACCGGAGGAAGGUGGGGAUGACGUCAAAUCAUCAUGCCCCUUAUGACCUGGGCUACACACGUGCUACAAUGGACAGAACAAAGGGCUGCGAGACCGCAAGGUUUAGCCAAUCCCAC
rnacentral:rRNA from 1 species